rnacentral:lncRNA from 1 species
GAAUGGAAACCACAGUCUGCUGCUUCUUGCUAGGCCUAAGCCUUAGGCAAGGCUUAUUCUUAGUUUGAAAGCUUCUCCAUAAAUUUUAUCCCUCUUUAUGAUGCUUUCUUUGAUUUUGCUCUCAUCUCUUGUCCUGCAUCAAAAUGAAUGGAAUAACUCAAAUCAGAUAGCGAUUAUUCCAAUUAAACUAAAAAAUGGACAAUAAAGAUGAUGUUUUUGCACAUUAUCAAUGUCCCCCACACUUAUCUUGUGCUUGCCCUCAAGCACUUCAUAAUGCAAAUCAUUAAUUUUCAUACAACUAUUUAACCAACAUCUAAACACAACAUGAGAGUUUUGUAAAAUUUUUCAGCACUAAAGUUUUUAAUUGAGAGAAACAGCUAAUACUGAGCAGAACAGCCACCAAACCUAUCUAGAAAUAAGAAUUUCAUACAAUUGGUUCAUACUAAAAAUAAUAAAUUUAUUUGUGACUAACUUGAGCACUUUUGCUUUCUUGAAUCAUUAUCAACUUUUUGACGCGAGGGUGAACAUUUGUGACGAAUGCACCCAGUUACUCAGCUGCUCACAGGUUCAAGUGGCUACUAGCAUUACUCAUGGUCGUUCGGCUUGAAUUGUCACCAAUAUUUUGAUACGAAGGUAAACAUUUGUGAUAAAUGCACUCAGUUACUCAACUGGUCACAUAUUCAGAUGACUAGGAAUAGAUUAUUUAUGCUCACUUUUCUUUCUCUUUUUCUUUAACAAAUACCAGACAUGAAUCGUAUAAUUCAUACAAAUCUAGAUAGGUUAUAGUAGGGUUCUUCCUAAGUAUUGACAUUCACUCAGAAGUAAGAGAAAAUUAAAUUUUUAUUAAUGACAAUCUGUAGACAAGUCAUGUUUAGGAUACAUGAUUAAAAAUGAUUAUUCUUAAUGUGAAAAGAUGAAAAACCAUUUAUGAUUCCAAGGAGAUGGUUGUAAGUUAUAAUUCAAUUUUUGAAAUAUCUCAUUUAAGUUGUUUUUAAAAUAACUAAAAUAGUUGUGAAGAAGGUUGGGGUGAGAGUUGCUGACAAUGUGUGUGUAUAUGGUUUUGGCAUGGCUAAAGGUAUGAAAGAGUGAAUAUUGAAAACAUGGCUAUCCUAAAACUUGAAGGUGCAACAUGUACCUAAACUCGUACCUAAGCUCCCCUAUACUUAAAUGACACAUUGUCCUUAAUGUGAUACAAUGCAAGGUGAAUAAGUGNN